rnacentral:rRNA from 1 species
AUGGCCGGUGGGCUUGGUCUUGGAUCUGGCCGCUGUCCUGCCUUGUCGAACAGAGGGAAGGGCCGUCCAUGGCGAUGGUCUCCUUCCAUUGUGAUGGCCUGGCUGCAGAAACCAAACCAACCGCACGGGUCAGAUCAGCAAAUCCAGAAGAAAAAGAAGAGGGGAGGAGGAUGGAGGGCGUACCUCUGGCGUCUAGGUGCUGCAGCCCGUCGCCGGCGUCGAGGGCCACCACAUCCCAUCCAUCCAUGGGUGGGUGUGGGGCUAGGGUUCUGCCCCCAUCCGUCCAUCCAUCCAUGGGUCGGGUCGGACCUUCAUGGCCGACCUCGAGGACAUCCAUGGGUGUAG